AAAUUCCUCAGUGUUGAAACCUAGGUGGAGGUUCUGAUGGAUUCCACUGGUGAUAUGAACUCUCAAAUGAUUGUGAAUGUCUGAGAAUAAACAGAUGCAGUCCUUUUCACAAGCAAGGCAAGGUCCACAACUCCACAGCAUCCUGGCAUUAUUUAUUCAUCAUGAGGAGGGCGCAUGAACAUGGAUCCUGCAGAAAAAUCAAAUCAGUGUUCAUUCUGUCGAGCAGCUGCCUCUGGAACAGAAUAAGCCUUUGGAUCUGACUUUGGUAACUGGACAAUUAGAGAUGUUAUUAAAUUGAAGAUGCAAAUGAGUAACGCUGUUUUCUUCUGAGUUUGCUGUGUUUCACUUGUAGUGCUUAAAUUAAAACCAGCUCCAAAAUUUGUAAGAGCUGACUCCUGACAGCUCAGAACAGUUCUGGGCUAGUUCAUGUAUCAGUAAUUUCAUUGAAAAUAUUUACAUAUCAGUUAACCUCAAAGGACCAAAUCUGUACUUUUUCACAUUCGCAGAUUAAAUGGAUUUAGUGACAAAGUUAUCAUGUUUGUGGUGCCUUGCACUGAAGAUUUGUCCACAAGCAGAGAUUCAGAUAGUGUGAAACACAAGCUUUUACACCUAUAAUAUAAGUUAAUGUGUUAAUAAGUGUAAGUAUG
rnacentral:lncRNA from 1 species